UUCCGGUUGAUCCUGCCGGAGGCCAUUGCUAUUGGAGUCCGACUUAGCCAUGCUAGUCGCACGGGUUUAGACCCGUGGCGAAUAGCUCCGUAACACGUGGCCAAGCUACCCUACAGAGAGCCAUAACCUCGGGAAACUGAGGCUAAUAGCUCAUAUACAUCUCGAACUGGAAUGCUGAGAUGUCUAAACGCUCCGGCGCUGUAGGAUGCGGCUGCGGCCGAUUAGGUAGACGGUGGGGUAACGGCCCACCGUGCCGAUAAUCGGUACGGGUUGUGAGAGCAAGAACCCGGAGACGGAAUCUGAGACAAGAUUCCGGGCCCUACGGGGCGCAGCAGGCGCGAAACCUUUACACUGCACGCCAGUGCGAUAAGGGGACUCCAAGUGCGAGGGCAUAUAGCCCUCGCUUUUCUGUACCGUAGGGAGGUACAGGAACAAGUGCUGGGCAAGACCGGUGCCAGCCGCCGCGGUAAUACCGGCAGCACGAGUGAUGGCCGAUCUUAUUGGGCCUAAAGCGUCCGUAGCUCGCCAGGCAAGUCCAUCGGGAAAUCCACCCGCUCAACGGGUGGGCGUCCGGUGGAAACUGCUUGGCUUGGGACCGAACGACCCAACGGGUACGUCUGGGGUAGGAGUGAAAUCCCGUAAUCCUGGACGGACCGCCGAUGGCGAAAGCACGUUGGGAGGACGGAUCCGACAGUGAGGGACGAAAGCUAGGGUCUCGAACCGGAUUAGAUACCCGGGUAGUCCUAGCUGUAAACGAUGUUCACUAGGUGUGGCACGGGCUACGAGCCUGUGCUGUGCCGUAGGGAAGCCGCUAAGUGAACCGCCUGGGAAGUACGUCUGCAAGGAUGAAACUUAAAGGAAUUGGCGGGGGAGCACUACAACCGGAGGAGCCUGCGGUUUAAUUGGAAUCAACGCCGGA
rnacentral:rRNA from 1 species